rnacentral:rRNA from 1 species
GAUGAACGCUGGCGGCGUGCCUAACACAUGCAAGUCGAGCGAAGCGCUUAAAUUAGAUUUCUUCGGAAUGACGAUUUUUGUGACUGAGCGGCGGACGGGUGAGUAACGCGUGGGUAACCUGCCUCAUACAGGGGGAUAACAGUUAGAAAUGACUGCUAAUACCGCAUAAGACCCCAGCUUCGCAUGAAGCGGUGGUAAAAACUCCGGUGGUAUGAGAUGGACCCGCGUCUGAUUAGCUAGUUGGUAAGGUAACGGCUUACCAAGGCGACGAUCAGUAGCCGACCUGAGAGGGUGCCCGGCCACAGUGGGACUGAGACACGGCCCAGACUCCUACGGGGGGCAGCAGUGGGGAAUAUUGCACAAUGGGGGAAACCCUGAUGCAGCGACGCCGCGUGAAGGAUGAAGUAUUUCGGUAUGUAAACUUCUAUCAGCAGGGAAGAAGGUGACGGUACCUGACUAAGGAGCCCCGGCUAACUAC